UACGAGUGCCCCGAGCGUUAUCCGGAAUUAUUGGGCGUAAAGCGUGUGUAGGUGGUUGUGUUAGUCUUCUGUUAAAUUCUUCGGCUUAACCGGGGGCAUGCGGGAGAAACGGCACGACUAGAGGGUGCGAGAGGUGUGUGGAACUCUAAGUGUAGGGGUGAAAUCCGUUGAUAUUUAGGGGAACACCAAAAGCGAAGGCAGCACACUGGCGCAUUUCCUGACACUGAGACACGAAAGCGUGGGUAGCGAAUGGG
rnacentral:rRNA from 1 species